rnacentral:tRNA from 1 species
GGUAAGAUGGCCGAGUUGGUCUAAGGCGCCAGGUUAGUUACCAUUUAUUCUUGUAUCAUAGAAUUUCCACUAAUUAUAUCACAGACUUAAGUAUCACUUUAGUGUGCUUUCUGGUCUCGAAAGAGGCGUGGGUUCGAAACCCGCUCUUACCA